GAGUUUGAUCCUGGCUCAGAUUGAACGCUGGCGGCAUGCUUUACACAUGCAAGUCGAGCGGCAGCGCGGGGGCAACCCUGGCGGCGAGCGGCGAACGGGUGAGUAAUGCAUCGGAACGUGUCCCGUGGUGGGGGAUAACCCAGCGAAAGCUGGGCUAAUACCGCAUAUGCUCUGCGGAGGAAAGUGGGGGACCUGAAAGGGCCUCACGCCAUGGGAGCGGCCGAUGUCCGAUUAGCUUGUUGGUGGGGUAAUGGCUUACCAAGGCGACGAUCGGUAGCUGGUCUGAGAGGAUGAUCAGCCACACUGGGACUGAGACACGGCCCAGACUCCUACGGGAGGCAGCAGUGGGGAAUUUUGGACAAUGGGGGCAACCCUGAUCCAGCCAUGCCGCGUGCGGGAAGAAGGCCUCGGUUGUAA
rnacentral:rRNA from 1 species